rnacentral:rRNA from 1 species
GACGAACGCUGGCGGCGUGCUUAACACAUGCAAGUCGAACGGAAAGGCCCUGCUUUUGUGGGGUGCUCGAUUGCCGAGCGGGUGAGUAACACGUGAGUAACCUGCCCUUGUCUUUGGGAUAACUUCAGGAAACUGGGGCUAUUACCGGAUAGGAGCUCCUGCUGCAUGUUGGGGGUUGGAAAGUUUCGGCGGUUGGGGCUGGACUGGCGGCUUAUGAGCUUGAUGGGCGGGUAGUGGCUGACCAAGCGUUUGACGGGUAGCCGGCCUGAGAGGGGGGCCGGGGUCCAGGGGCCUGAGAGAGGGCCCAGAAGCCAAUGGGAGGCAGUAGGGGGGAAUAUGGCGGAACGGGGGGGAGUGUGAUGCAGCAGCGCCGCGAGCGGGAUGACGGGUUUCGGGGUGUAAACCGCUGUGGACUGUGAUGAAGAGGGAGUGACGGUAAUGGGUAAAGAAGCAACGGCUAACUACGUG